UCCCCCUUUCCCUUUUUUCAAAACUGAUCUCAAUUCAAAUUUCUAUUGGAGUUUGCAACAAUAACUACUCAUUUAAAUACAUCAUAAAAUAUUAAAAUGUAACAAAAAGUGCUUGUUAUCACUGAAUGGUAAAGAGUGUUUUAAUUUAUCAGUUGGUAGUAAAAGUGAAUAUACAUUGUGCAUUGUAUAAAACAAUGAUUUAAGUUGAUUCAACUACUAUUCUGGACAAAGAAAGAUAACUCCAAUCAAUUGAAAAUUUCUUGCUAUUGCACAAUAUUGUGCAAUU
rnacentral:lncRNA from 1 species